rnacentral:rRNA from 1 species
CGUUUAGUUGGCAUGCGGAAGGGUAUUAAGAAUGAAAAGUGCUUAACUGCAUUUUUUCUUACACAUGUGUUUUUCUUUUUUAGGGGCUUUGCUUUGGUAGGCCUUCUAUAUGGGGCCUGCCAGAGAUUAAACUCAACCAAAUUUUAUUUAAUGUCAACCGAUUAUUUAAUAGUCAAAACUUUCAACAACGGAUCUCUUGGUUCUCGCAUCGAUGAAGAACGCAGCGAAAUGCGAUAAGUAAUAUGAAUUGCAGAUAUUCGUGAAUCAUCGAAUCUUUGAACGCACAUUGCGCCCUUUGGUAUUCCAAAGGGCAUGCCUGUUUGAGCGUCAUUUCUCCCUCAAACCCUCGGGUUUGGUGUUGAGCGAUACGCUGGGUUUGCUUGAAAGAAAGGCGGAGUAUAAACUAAUGGAUAGGUUUUUUCCACUCAUUGGUACAAACUCCAAAACUUCUUCCAAAUUCGACCUCAAAUCAGGUAGGACUACCCGCUGAACUUAAGCAUAUCAAUAAGCGGAGGAA